AACUGAGGAUGGGGAGACACCAGGCCAAAGAAGGCUGUGCUUAUAUGGGGCCUCCCAAAUUUAACAUGUCCUCUUAUCACAGCAGUCAGAGAAAAGGUCCGUCCCAAAUGACUAACCCUCACUGAGGUCAUCAGUGGACAGCGCACAGUGAAAAAGACCUCUACAUGUGCAAAUGGCUGGAGCCAUCAUGCUAACAACAGACAUAUAUUCUGGGCUUUAAUCACCAGACACAGCAUACUAAUCUGUCCUUUUCCGGUGUGGACAAAGAAACCUCUCAUCAAAAGCAUGGGCCUGAUGCCGCGCUAAUGCAAAGCUGUGCCGAGCCACAUGAGGAGUCAAACCCGGAAAUGAGACGGCUGAAGGAAGCAUCAGAGGGCCAGGAGGUGAGACAAUCCACCAAUCACACGGCUCGAUUCAUAUUGCAUUUCUAAACGCUCACCGCAAUUUCCUGCAAUGAAAGAGCUGGCCUCUGUGUAUCAGAUUUAAACCGUCAUCAAUCCGAUUUAAUAAGCCUCUGGGGGGGAUUGGUUUCUCUGGAACAGAAUUACCACCAUUUCCUACGAGCCAACAGGAAAUACAGGGUGAAUUCACAGCACGAGGACACGAUUCCAGCGGCUUCUCCUCUCUCCCGGUUCUGAACGAGAGGCACUGCACGGCGCGUGGAGCCACAGUCGCAUCGAUCGCGCGGAACAUUGCGAGAAGCCAAAAACGCAGAAUUAUUCAUCACACAGCUGACAGCUUUCCACUGGCAGCUGCAGCGGUCUGUCACGUCGC